rnacentral:rRNA from 1 species
UACGUAGGUGGCAAGCGUUGUCCGGAUUUACUGGGCGUAAAGCGUGCGCAGGCGGUGAUGUAAGACCGAUGCGAAACUCCCCGGGCUUAACCUGGGAACUGCAUUGGUGACUGCAUUGCUGGAGUAUGGCAGAGGGGGGGUGGAAUUCCGCGUGUAGCAGUGAAAUGCGUAGAUAUGCGGAGGAACACCGAUGGCGAAGGCAAUCCCCUGGGCCUGCACUGACGCUCAUGCACGAAAGCGUGGGGAGCAAACAGG